UUGGCGGUCGGGUCCACUUCCCGGGUCACCACCAAGUACUCGCGCAACGCGAUCGCGUGCAGAUGUUC
rfam:Mycobacterium kyorinense strain E861 contig_175, whole genome shotgun sequence.